rnacentral:rRNA from 1 species
UACAGAGGUCCCAAGCGUUGUUCGGAUUCAUUGGGCGUAAAGGGUGCGUAGGUGGCGUGGUAAGUCGGGUGUGAAAUUUCGGAGCUUAACUCCGAAACUGCAUUCGAUACUGCCGUGCUUGAGGACUGGAGAGGAGACUGGAAUUUACGGUGUAGCAGUGAAAUGCGUAGAUAUCGUAAGGAAGACCAGUGGCGAAGGCGGGUCUCUGGACAGUUCCUGACACUGAGACACGAAGGCCAGGGGAGCAAACGGG